UAGUUUUUGCAUAUAAAAGGGGGAUGUUCGAAUAGAAAUUCAUAGUAAUUCCGUGAAAGAUUCAGUAAGAAUAAUCAUGAAUCAAAAAAUUAGUUUUCUUCUUGUUUUGGUCUCUCUCAUUUUGAUGUCUGGAUUUUUCAUGACAUCUGUGGCAGCGGAACCAGUCCCAUGCAGAUCUCCUUGUAAACGUGGGAAAUAUCGUGGCCAGUGCAGGAAGCAAUGUCCGUAAAGCGAAUUUCACUUUCUGGAAACUACGUCGGCGCUACAAUGUGGAUUUAUGAUUCAACGAUUUUAAUGAUUAUGAAAAAUGCAAUCACGUGUGAAGAAAAAUAGAUAGUAGCCUUUUUAAUAGAGAAAAGUAAAAUGCCCUAAUGUUUCAAGAUAGUCACGAAAAACUAUUUGCAACUAUAAUUUGUUACGAAGGAAACAAUACUUUUUUCAAUGUACGUAAAGAUUUUGGACUUAAUCAUUCUCUAAUUAGUGUGAAAAAUGUAAUUAAAUGGGAAAUAAAAUACAAUUUUUUGCAUUACUUUAAUAUUUGUAUAUUUAUGUUAAUAUUCUACCAUAUCAGUAGCUUGAAACAAUUUGUCACGUAGAAAACAUAUUUCUAAACGUGUACACAAUCAGUAUAUAAAAAUUCUAAAUGUGCGUGUAAUCGGGUUAUAUGUGUCAUAACUUCGAAUGGCACUUGUAUAUAAAAAGAAGAAGAGCAAACACAGAUAGAUGUUCACAGUGUAUGUGCUGAAAAUUCAAUACGAGAAUCAUGAAGAAAAACGUCAAGUUUCUUCUAAUAUUUCUAUCUCUCAUUUCAAUGUUGGGAUUAUUCAUAAAACCCGUGACAGGAGAACUAAAGCAAUGUAGAUUUUCUCCUAAAAGCCGCUGUAGUGACCCGAAUUUCCGUAACAUGUGCAAGAUAAAAUGCUCAUCAAGGAAAUGAACUCGAUUUUCUGACAAACGAUGACGACUUUGGAAUUAAUCAUUUUAGUUAUUAAAAACAAUGUAAUUAAAUGUGAAAAUAAAUAAAAUUCUAUGCAUUACCUAAACAUUUUUAUAUUUACGGAUAUUUCAAAUAUACCAUCACCUUAAGCAUUUCUAUAAAAAUUUCAACUAUCGAAGCACGUCACAAGAAUCACGAAUGAUCUUAACUAACAAAAUGACCAAAAAAGACGGUAGUCUUCUUACCUUGUAAGAAUAUGUAUCACGACUGUCACGAAAACCUGCACGUAUCGCUGAAAUUUGUCACGGAGCAUACAUAUUACGCACCUAAAUGAUCGCGUAACUACCUGUUCGUGCCAUAACAUCGAUUAGUUUUUGUAUAUAAACAUCUGAACGACAAAUGCAGCUGCAUGUUUAUAACAAACACGCUGAGGAGUCGAUACGAGGAAUCAUGAGUCAAACAAUUAGCCUUCUUCUCGUCUUUGUUUCUCUUAUUUUGAUGUCAGGAUUUUUCAUGACAUCAGUAACAGCGGAACCUCCAGCUUGCAACAAUUUACCAAAGAAACUUUGCAGCAGCAUGAAAUACCGUAACAUGUGUAAGAGCAAGUGUUGAUAAUGGAUUUUGGUCUCUGACAGACGACGGCAGCACCACGACGAAUAUUUUGACGUAAACCACUUUGAUUCCCGUUGAAAAUACCAUAAAAUGUGAAAGUACAUAAAAUUCUACGUAUUUGGUUAUUUUCAAUAACAAAUAAAUGUAAUGCAAUUACUGUAAUCUUCUUCACACGUUACAAAUUAUUAUCUUUGGAAAUUGUCUGUAUACUGUUGAAUAAUUUACGGUCAUACAAUCUGAACGCAA